AAAUUGAAGAGUUUGAUCAUGGCUCAGAUUGAACGCUGGCGGCAGGCCUAACACAUGCAAGUCGAACGGUAACAGGAAACAGCUUGCUGUUUCGCUGACGAGUGGCGGACGGGUGAGUAAUGUCUGGGAAACUGCCUGAUGGAGGGGGAUAACUACUGGAAACGGUAGCUAAUACCGCAUAAUGUCGCAAGACUAAAGAGGGGGACCUUCGGGCCUCUUGCCAUCGGAUGUGCCCAGAUGGGAUUAGCUAGUAGGUGGGGUAACGGCUCACCUAGGCGACGAUCCCUAGCUGGUCUGAGAGGAUGACCAGCCA
rnacentral:rRNA from 1 species